UUCUCAUUGUGGCCUGCAUAUCUUUCUACUUACACUUCUCCUACUGUCCUACAACAUAUUCUCUCAUAAAUUUUUGUGUGUAAAGCUGGAUCACAUUUAUCCUCCUCCUCCUUAUUUGUGGUAUGUCUUUCUUCUUCACUCAUAUCCUAAGACACAUUAUCCCAUCAUCAGAAAGAGUAACUCACAUUGAUUAUAGUUAUUAAUUGUUCUUUAUUUAUAUUUCUUCUCUUACUUGACGUGUAUAAAUUGUUUACCUCAAGAGAAAUUUCAUUGGAGAGAAAAAGAGAGAGAAAUUUCAUUGGAGAUCUAGAAAAUAAAAAUAGAAGAGAUGUUAUGGAAAUGUUUUCAAAAGAGAAAUAGCUACUUAGCAUUUUAUAAUAAUUUUAAAGUUUAUUAUAUUUUGAUAAUGAAAAUUUAUUGUUGAAAACCUCAAAAUGGAAACUUAUGGAUAUAUACAUGUUCUUAGAAAUGAUAUUUUUCCUAUUUAAUAUAAUAUACUAUUCUGAUCAAGUUCCCUACCCACAAUCACCACAAAUUGUGUAUUUAACCAAAAAAUGGAGAUGAGAUUAAGACAUGCAAAUCAGCAAUAAAUUCUAAUUAAUGUGAAGAUAAGGUACCUCUUAAUAGCUAGCUGUUCUUUGUUAAAGUCAUCGCUUACUUGUUGACCAUUUAAACUCCAACAAUUAUCACAUAUGACGAAUUGAAUGCGAGCCACGUGAAGAUGUAGAUGUAUAUACCCUUCAUGUCUUUUUUGUUUUGUUUUUUUUUUCAGAUUCUGAAAACAUUAGUUCAAGAAAAAAGUCAACAACUCGUAAGAAGCAAAGCAGACCAAGAAAAAAAUGGCAGGAGGGUCGUUUGGUCCAACGGGUGUGGCUAAAGAAAGAGCAGAACAGUACCAAGGGAAAGUCACUAGCUAUGUCAUCAUCGCUUGUCUUGUUGCAGCCAUCGGUGGAUCCAUCUUUGGAUAUGACAUUGGAAUCUCAGGUUCUCUUCAUCAUCAUCUUCUUCUUCCUCCUCUUUAAAGUCCAAAAUCUGAAAUGGGUUUUGUUUACAGGAGGAGUCACAUCAAUGGAUGAGUUUCUUGAUCAGUUUUUCCAUACGGUUUAUGAGAAGAAGAAGCAAGCUCAUGAGAGUAAUUACUGCAAAUAUGAUAAUCAAGGAUUAGCUGCUUUCACUUCUUCACUCUACUUGGCUGGUCUGGUUUCAACUCUGGCCGCUUCACCCAUCACUAGAAACUAUGGAAGGCGUGCGAGCAUUGUAUGUGGUGGAGUCAGCUUUUUUAUUG
rnacentral:lncRNA from 1 species